AGGUGGUUGGGGGUGUAAGACAGAGUCAUAUCUGCACUUCCAUCCAGGACCCUUGUGAGUUAGUGGAUGACAUGUGCCAACACAUCAAAUAUAAAUCAGGUGGUAAAAUGGUGUGUUGGGAUUGCCCCAUUGCAUUUCCUGUCUUCAUGCAGCCCCUUUACAGUGCCCCAGUGUGCCUGGCCACUUGAUCACACCAGGAACAGACACACUUGGCAAACAUACUGCAAGCUGCAAUACAACAUCAGAGCUCUGCACUCUGGUGGGAGGAUUCACCAGAAUCUAGGGCCUUCCUAGAUUCUGUUUCUUCCUUGAAGAAGAUCAGAGGAAACUGUCAAACAGAGGUUUACCCAGUGGGCGAUUGCGAGGACGUUUUGGUCAGCAUGGUUAUGGAAGAAGUAAUGUCCUAUCUCAUUUCCCAGGAUUAUUGCAUAUCACAGCAGGAAGAGGACAGCCUGGAGC